rnacentral:rRNA from 1 species
AGAGUUUGAUCAUGGCUCAGAACGAACGCUGGCGGCAUGCUUCAGACAUGCAAGUCGAACGAGAUCUUCGGAUCUAGUGGCGCACGGGUGAGUAACGCGUGGGAACCUACCUUUUAGUUCGGGAUAACAGUUGGAAACGACUGCUAAUACCGUAUACGCCCUCCGGGGGAAAGGUCAGCCGCUGAAAGAGGGGCCCGCGUCUGAUUAGCUUGUUGGUAGGGUAAAAGCCUACCAAGGCUACGAUCAGUAGCUGGUCUGAGAGGAUGAUCAGCCACACUGGGACUGAGACACGGCCCAGACUCCUACGGGAGGCAGCAGUCGGGAAUAUUGGACAAUGGAGGAAACUCUGAUCCAGCAAUGCCGCGUGUGUGAUGAAGGCCCUAGGGUUGUAAAGCACUUUCAACGGUGAAGAUGAUGACGGUAGCCGUAGAAGAAGCCCCGGCUAACUUCGUGCCAGCAGCCGCGGUAAUACGAAGGGGGCGAGCGUUGUUCGGAAUUAUUGGGCGUAAAGGGCGCGCAGGCGGUUUGGAUAGUUAGACGUGAAAGCCCUGGGCUUAACCUAGGAACUGCGUUUAAUACUGCCNAACUAGAGAACUAGAGAGGAUAGCGGAACUCCCAGU